rnacentral:rRNA from 1 species
UAGGGAAUCUUCGGCAAUGGGGGGAACCCUGACCGAGCAACGCCGCGUGAGUGAAGAAAGUUUUCGGAUCGUAAAGCUCUGUUGUUAAGGAAGAACGAGUGUGAGAAUGGAAAGUUCAUACUGUGACGGUACUUAACCAGAAAGGGACGGCUAACUACGUGCCAGCAGCCGCGGUAAUACGUAGGUCCCGAGCGUUGUCCGGAUUUAUUGGGCGUAAAGCGAGCGCAGGCGGUUAGAUAAGUCUGAAGCUAAAGGCAGUGGCUCAACCAUUGUAGGCUUUGGAAACUGUUUAACUUGAGUGCAGAAGGGGAGAGUGGAAUUCCAUGUGUAGCGGUGAAAUGCGUAGAUAUAUGGAGGAACACCGGUGGCGAAAGCGGCUCUCUGGUCUGUAACUGACGCUGAGGCUCGAAAGCGUGGGGAGCGAACAGGAUUAGAUACCCUGGUAGUCCACGCCGUAACGAUGAGUGCUAGGUGUUAGGUCCUUUCCGGGACUUAGUGCCGCAGCUAACGCAUUAAGCACUCCGCCUGGGGAGUACGACCGCAAGGUUG